GUCCUCGCUUCGGCAGCACAUAUACUAAAAUUGGAAGGAUACAAAGAUUAGCAUGGCCCCUGCACAAGGAUGACACACAAAUUCGUGAAGCAUUCCAUAUUUUA
rnacentral:snRNA from 1 species